UUUGGCCAACAAUUCAAUUAGAUGUAACCCAAACCUGCUAUUGGAUGCUUCAUUUGAUGACAAGAGAUGGCCAGUUUGGUCUUUGUCUCUUCCACUGGUGUUUUCAUUUAGAUCACCUUCAUAUAUGUAUAUAUUUUAGGUUUCUAUUUUAGAUUUCCAUACUACCCCUCAAAUGUCCCUUAACUUUAGCUGUCUCUCCCCAUACUCCCUCCCUCAUUCCCUUCUCCCUUUCCUGUCCCUGCUUGAUCUUCCACUCUAGUCACUCCUCAUCAAUAUAUCCAUAAAUAGUAGUUAUAUUUCCUUUUUCUCAUGAGAUCUAUCUGCUCCCUCUAGUCCCUUACUCUAUACCUAUCUUACAUAGUUCUAUGGAUUGUAGCUUGGUUGUCAUUGACUUCACUGCUAAUCCACGUAUAUGUGAAUAUAUUCCGUAUUUCUGGAUCUGCAAUACCUCAUUCAGGAUGAUUUUUUUCUAGUCCCAUCUAUUUGCCUGAACAUUUUAUGAUAGCCUUUUCCCCCCAAUGGCUAAGUAGGUGGUACUCUGUGUAUAAAUGCACCACAUUUCCUUUAUCCAGUCUUCUGUUGUAGGGCAUCUAGGUUGUUUCCAGUUUCUGGUUAUUAAGAAGAGAACAGCACUAGGCAUGGUUGAGCACGCGUCUCCGUGUAGGAUGAAGCAGCCUUUGGGAAUAUGCCCAAGAGUCGCAUAGUUGGAACUUGAUGUCGAUCAACUCUAAUCUUCCUAAAGAAUAGCCAUACUGAUUCCCAUAGUGACAGCCAGUGUUCUUAACUACUGAGCCGUCUCUCCAGCCCUAGGAAAGCGACUUGUAAAUAAUUACAUUGUGACAGCCAGUGUUCUUAACUACUGGGCCAUCUCUCCAGCCCUAGAAAAGCGACUUUUAAAUAAUUACAUUUAUAAUGAGUUUUCAUCUUUAUUCCUUUACUAUCUGCAGGGGCCUGCCCUGCCUCAGGGGCUGAAGUGGGACACAACAUGGGACACAGGUCGAGAGACUGAUGAUCUCCAGCUUUGUAGGGACUUAAGUCUUUCUUACUGUUCUGUGCUUCAUUAAGCACUGGGGGGGACUUAAUUCUUUAUCUCUCAUUUACUUUAUAAUUCUCUGUGCUUGCAUGAGUGCUGGAAAACUUAACUCGUACUUACUUUAUAAGUAAGCAUAUGGGCAGUUAACAUAUGCUGGAUAGCAGCAGGGAGUUCAGUAGAGGAUGUUUGCUAAGGUUCCUUUCUCUCUUGUCCAGAACCCUCUUCUUUUGCUGUCCAGGCAAGAGGGAGGCUUGCAGCCAUUAACUUUUAGUGAACCAGGAAAAGAACGUCAUGCUU
rnacentral:lncRNA from 1 species